ACACACACACACACACACAAUGAUUCGCACACGCGCACGCACACUUACGUUUCCUGUUCUCACUUUCGCCCUGCUUCCCCUUUGUGUGAAUUGUACCGGAAAGGAACACCCCUGAUGCACACACAACCAUGCACACACUCACUCACACACAUACGCACCCACACACAUUUCUUGUUCUCUCUGUCUACCUGCUUCCACUUCCUGCUUCCUGUUCUCACUUUCCCCCUGGUCCCCUUUGUGUGAACUGUACGAGAAAGAAACAUCCCUGACACACUCGGACACAAUGCUCCAGAACGGGUGGUUUUUCCUCUCUCCUCUUCCCUCUUCCCCUCCUCUCAUCCUACCUCUGAUGCCAGGGCUGCGAUUCUCCACCCUUCUCCAAAGUGGGCACUUGCACACUCCCGUGAUGGAUUUAACCUCUUGAACCUCUGGGGGCAGUAUUUCAUUUUUGGAUGAAAAACGUUCCCGUUUUAAACAAGAUAUUUUGUCACUAAAAGAUGCUCGACUAUGCAUAUAAUUGACAGCUUUGGAAAGAAAACACUCUGACGUUUCCAAAACUGCAAAGAUAUUGUCUGUGAGUGCCACAGAACUAAUGCUACAGGCGAAACCAAGAUGAAAUUUCAUACAGGAAGUGAGCCAGAUUUUUGAGGCGCUGUGUUCCAAUGUCUCCUUAUAUGGCUGUGAAUGCGCAAGGAGAGAGCCUACACUUUCUGUCGUUUCCCCAAGGUGUUUGCAGCAUUGUGACGUAUUUGUAGGCAUAUCAUUGACCAUAAGAGACUACAUUUACCAGGUGUCCGCUCGGUGUCCUCCGUCGAAACUAUUGCGUAAUCUCCAGGUGCGUGCAUGUUUCCAUUUUGAACAGAGGAGAAACCAAACUGCCACGAGUGACUUAUCAUCGAAUAGAUAUGUGAAAAACACCUUGAGGAUUGAUUCUAAACAACGUUUGCCAUGUUUCUGUCAAUAUUAUGGAGUUAAUUUGGAAAAACGUUCGCGUUUUAAUGACUGGAUUUUCGGGGGGGUUUUCUCAGCCAAACGUGAUGAACAAAACGGAGCGAUUUCUCCUGCACAAAUAAUCUUUUUGGAAAAACUGAACAUUUGCUAUCGAACUGAGAGUCUCCUCAUUGAGAACAUCCAAAGUUCUUCAAAGGUAAAUUAUUUUAUUUGAAUGCUUUUCUUGUUUUUGUGAAAAUGUUGCCUGCUGAAUGCUUUGCUUAAUGCUAUGCUAGCUAUCAAUACUCUUACACAAAUGCUUGUGUAGCUAUGGUUGAAAAGCAUUUUUUGAAAAUCUGAGAUGACAGUGUUGUUAACAAAAGGCUAAGCUUGUGAGCCAAUAUAUUUUUUUCAUUUCAUUUGCGAUUUUCAUGAAUAGUUAACGUUGCGUUAUGGUAAUGAGCUUGAGGCUAUAAUUACGCUCCCGGAUACGGGAUUGCUCGUCGCAACAGGUUAAAAGUGUAUGAUUGGUGCAAACGUUGGCUGGAGGUAGUUUCCGCCAUUGUUAAAUCUAUGUCGGGGAGUGUGCAACCGCACACGCCUUGAAAAGGGUGGAUCAUCUCUGGAAGCACCAGAGCAAGUAAGAGCAGGAGAAUAUAGCCAAAACAGCACUGGUCUUAAAACGAAGCUACAGUAGUAGGCCUAAAGCUCAGACAAAGCCGUUCAAGUCAUGGACGAGGCUUACUUACUCGCACAAUGGUUGCAUCCCAAAUUCACCCUAUUCCCUACAUAGUGCACUACUUUAUUUGGAAUAGGGUCCCAUUUGGGACGCAGCCAUUGACUACUUCAGCUUUCUGAUCCCCUUUUCAGGAACAAUGUGCUGUGUAGUGUAGUGCCUACUCAGGCUUUUGCACAUGAAAUGUAAUGAUACAUAGAGUGUCAGCAGCAGUGUACUACUACAGUGUAGUUUCGGGGAGAUCGCUGAUGAUUGGUGUCAAAGUUGGACGUCUAUCCAUGUCCUUGAGGACUUCAGGAAAUGCCUUCGAAAUCGGCCACUAGUGGCAACAGUGAGCACUAUCACCAUCAAGUGGGCUUGGGUUUUGCAAGGGUGUUGUGGACGGGUGUCACGUCAUCCCAUGACUCUGGAUCAGAAGGUUGCGUGUUCGGUCGUGGACACUGUUCUCUAUUUUUAUUUUACCCUAUCCAAAACCUUAACCCUUGCUUUAAACAGUUGGAAUGACUGCCUUAACUUUACCCUUAACAUCUACAUUUGAUGUUCGGAGAAAUAGAACAAUACAGAGCAGCAGGAACAACAACAAAAAAGGCUUUCCAAUUGUACGUUUGGAGAACGUGGAUGAACGUCUAAUUCUGUAGUGAGAGCUUGUUGGCAGUUUUGCCUUUUACCCAUUAAUGGUUAAGUUUAGGGUCGGGGCCAACUACUGCUUGGACACUGUCCAACCUCUCAGAGGACACACACACACACACACACACACACACACACACACACACACACACACACACACACACACACACACACACACACACACACACACCCUCCUCACCCACCCCAGUCUUCACCCACCUCACCCACCUCACUCUCCUCAGUCCUCACACACCUACCCGUUUCCUUCCCCUUUCAUCCCAGUCCAAAACACCUCACCCUUCUCAGUGUUCACCCUCCUCGCCCACGUCACCCUCCUCGCCUCUCUGCCCUCACCCACCUCACCCUUCUCAGUCCUCACCCACCUGCCCGUUUCCUUCCCCUUUCAUCCCAGUCCAAAACACCUCACCCUUCUCAGUGUUCACCCUCCUCGCCCACGUCACCCUCCUCGCCCCUCUCAGACCUCACCCAUCUCACCCUUCUCAGUCCUCACCCACCUGCCCGUUUCCUUCCCCUUUCAUCCCAGUCCAAAACACACCAACCUCACCAUAGAGAUGAUGAUGAUUUCCCUUACUGUCACCCUAACUUUGUCUGAAAUGACACCCAUAGUGCACUACCUAUACUGAUUUAGUGCACUACUUAUAACCAACCAUAUAGCGCCCUACCAUAGAAGCCAUAGAGGCCUCACAGGCUCAAAAAGCUAAGCCAGCUCAGCUAAUGAAACAGCAGUGUCCUGUGUGAAUUUAAGUAUGCUCUCUCUAAUUCUCUCUUUCUUUCUCUCUCUCGGAGGACCUGAGCCCUAGGACCAUGCCUCAAGACUACCGGGCAUGAUGACUCCUUGCGGUCCCCAGUCCACCUGGCCGUGCUGCUGCUCCAGUUUCAACUGUUCUGCUUGGAAUUAUUAUUAUUUGACCAUGCUGGUCAUUUAUGAACAUUUGAACAUCUUGGCCAUGUUCUGUUAUAAUCUCCACCCGGCACAGCCAGAAGAGGACUGGCCACCCCACAUAGCCUGGUUCCUCUCUAGGUUUCUUCCUAGGUUUUGGCCUUUCUAGGGAGUUUUUCCUAGCCACCGUGCUUCUACACCUGCAUUGCUUGCUGUUUGAGGUUUUAGGCUGGGUUUCUGUACAGCACUUUGAGAUAUCAGCUGAUGUACGAAGGGCUAUAUAAAUACAUUUGAUUUGAUUUGA